rnacentral:tRNA from 1 species
UCACUGGUGGUCGAGUGGUUACGACUUUGCUUUCCAACGCUGAGGGUGCAGGUUCGAUUCCUGGUCAGGGAG